rnacentral:rRNA from 1 species
UACGUAGGGGGCAAGCGUUGUCCGGAUUUAUUGGGUGUAAAGAGCUCGUAGGUGGUUCGGUAAGUCGGAUGUGAAAUCUCCAGGCUCAACCUGGAGGGGUCAUUCGAUACUGCCGUGACUAGAGUUCGGUAGGGGAGUGUGGAAUUCCUGGUGGAGCGGUGAAAUGCGCAGAUAUCAGGAGGAACACCCGUAGCGAAGGCGGCACUCUGGGCCGAUACUGACACUGAGGAGCGAAAGCGUGGGGAGCGAACAGG